rnacentral:rRNA from 1 species
UAAAGAUUCAUCGCUGAUAGAUAGGCAUGCGUUCCAUUAGGCAGUUGGCGGGGUAACGGCCCACCAAACCGACGAUGGAUAGGGGUUCUGAGAGGAAGGUCCCCCACAUUGGUACUGAGACACGGACCAAACUCCUACGGGAGGCAGCAGUGAGGAAUAUUGGUCAAUGGGCGUAAGCCUGAACCAGCCAAGCCGCGUGAGGGAUGAAGGUUCUAUGGAUCGUAAACCUCUUUUAUAAGGGAAUAAAGUGUGGGACGUGUCCUAUUUUGUAUGUACCUUAUGAAUAAGGAUCGGCUAACUCCGUGCCAGCAGCCGCGGUAAUACGGAGGAUCCGAGCGUUAUCCGGAUUUAUUGGGUUUAAAGGGUGCGUAGGCGGCCUUUUAAGUCAGCGGUGAAAGUCUGUGGCUCAACCAUAGAAUUGCCGUUGAAACUGGGGGGCUUGAGUAUGUUUGAGGCAGGCGGAAUGCGUGGUGUAGCGGUGAAAUGCUUAGAUAUCACGCAGAACCCCGAUUGCGAAGGCAGCCUGCCAAGCCAUGACUGACGCUGAUGCACGAAAGCGUGGGGAUCAAACAGGAUUAGAUACCCUGGUAGUCCACGCAGUAAACGAUGAUCACUAGCUGUUUGCGAUACAGUGUAA